AGGGAGGAGAGGGGGGAGAAAAGGAGGGAUGGAGGAGAAAGGAGGAGAGGGGGAGAAAAUGAGGGAUGGAGGAGAAAGGAGGAGAGGGGGAGAAAAUGAGGGAUGGAGGAGAAGGGAGGAGAGGGGGAGAAAAGGAGGGAUGGAGGAGAAAGGAGGAGAGGGGGAGAAAAUGAGGGAUGGAGGAGAAGGGAGGAGAGGGGGAGAAAAGGAGGGAUGGAGGAGAAGGGAGGAGAGGGGGAGAAAGGAGGAGAGGGGGAGAAAGGAGGGAUGGAGGAGAAGGGAGGAGAGGGGGAGAAAGGAGGGAUGGAGGAGAAGGGAGGAGAGGGGGAGAAAAGGAGGGAUGGAGGAGAAGGGAGGAGAGGGGGAGAAAAGGAGGGAUGGAGGAGAAGGGAGGAGAGCCAGAUUUUGCAGGGCAGAUUCUAACAACAGAGAGAUAAGCUCCGUCUCAAUGCCCCUUACAACUAGGAAUCUCUACUACUUUACUCUUUUAAAACUAUCUUCGCAAUAUUUGUAUUUAUUUUGUACAUAAUUUCUCAUGUAAACAUUACAUUCAUGCAACAGCCGCUUUAUAAUAAAGUUCCUAUACUUGAUAUAUUUUGUUUUUUAAAAUGAACAAAAAAGAGAUAAAGGAAAAGACAGUUAAAGGAGGAUGGUAUGAUGAGCCCUAAGGACAGGAAGUGAGGAUGGUAUGAUGAGCCCUAAGGACAGGAAGUGAGGAUGGUAUGAUGAGCCCUAAGGACAGGAAGUGAGGAUGGUAUGAUGAGCCCUAAGGACAGGAAGUGAGGAUGGUAUGAUGACCCCCAAGGACAGGAAGUGAGGAUGGUAUGAUGACCCCCAAGGACAGGAAGUGAGGAUGGUAUGAUGAGCCCUAAGGACAGGAAGUGAGGAUGGUAUGAUGAGCCCUAAGGACAGGAAGUGAGGAUGGUAUGAUGAGCCCUAAGGACAGGAAGUGAGGAUGGUAUGAUGACCCCCUAAGGACAGGAAGUGAGGAUGGUAUGAUGACCCCCAAGGACAGGAAGUGAGGAUGGUAUGAUGACCCCCAAGGACAGGAAGUGAGGAUGGUAUGAUGAGCCCUAAGGACAGGAAGUGAGGAUGGUAUGAUGACCCCUAAGGACAGGAAGUGAGGAUGGUAUGAUGACCCCUAAGGACAGGAAGUGAGGAUGGUAUGAUGACCCCUAAGGACAGGAAGUGAGGAUGGUAUGAUGACCCCCAAGGACAGGAAGUGAGGAUGGUAUGAUGACCCCUAAGGACAGGAAGUGAGGAUGGUAUGAUGAGCCCUAAGGACAGGAAGUGAGGAUGGUAUGAUGACCCCCAAGGACAGGAAGUGAGGAUGUUAUGAUGACCCCCAAGGACAGGAAGUGAGGAUGGUAUGAUGACCCCCAAGGACAGGAAGUGAGGAUGGUAUGAUGAGCCCUAUGGACAGGAAGUGAGGAUGGUAUGAUGACCCCCAAGGACAGGAAGUGAGGAUGGUAUGAUGACCCCUAAGGACAGGAAGUGAGGAUGGUAUGAUGACCCCCAAGGACAGGAAGUGAGGAUGGUAUAAUGACCCCUAAGGACAGGAAGUGAGGAUGGUAUGAUGAGCCCUAAGGACAGGAAGUGAGGAUGGUAUGAUGAGCCCUAAGGACAGGAAGUGAGGAUGGUAUGAUGACCCCUAAGGACAGGAAGUGAGGAUGGUAUGAUGACCCCUAAGGACAGGAAGUGAGGAUGGUAUGAUGACCCCUAAGGACAGGAAGUGAGGAUGGUAUGAUGACUCCUAAGGACAGGAAGUGAGGGAUGAAAAAGAGGACAGGGUUCCCUGAUGUAUGUAGGUGUGUGUGAUCCCAACUCCAAAGUGUGUGUGUGUGUGUGUGUGUGUGUGUGUGUGUGUGUGUGUGUGUGUGUGUGUGUGUGUGUGUGUGUGUGUGUGUGUGUGUGUGUGUGUGUGUGUGUGUGUGUGAGUGAGUGAGUGAGUGUUGUGAGUGUUGUGUGUGUGUGUGUGUGUGUGU
rnacentral:lncRNA from 1 species